UUGGGAAUCUUGCACAAUGGGGGAAACCCUGAUGCAGCGACGCCGCGUGGAGGACGAAGGGUUUAGGCCUGUAAACUCCUUUUAUCGGGAAAGACUUAGGACGGUACCCGAUGAAUAAGGACCGGCUAACUACGUGCCAGCAGCCGCGGUAAGACGUAGGGUCCAAGCGUUGUCCGGAUUUACUGGGCGUAAAGAGCGCGUAGGCGGUCUGUUAAGUGUAGAGUGAAAUCUCCAGGGCUCAACCCGGAAACUGCUCUGCAUACUGGCAGACUUGAGGGUCGGAGAGGUGUAUGGAAUUCCUGGUGUAGCGGUGAAAUGCGUUGAUAUCAGGAGGAACACCCAUGGCGAAGGCAGUACACUGGCCGGCAUCUGACGCUGAUGCGCGAAAGCGUGGGUAGCAAACAGGAUUAGAUACCCGUGUAGUCC
rnacentral:rRNA from 1 species